GCCUGAUGUCAUGAAUUUGGAACACUCGAGUCUUAAGCUUUCCAAAGGCUGCAGCAGCUUGCCUGAUUCUGUGAUUGACUUCUGCAUCAAUGUUAGCAUUUGAAGACAUUAUACUACCAUGGGACACGCCCACGGGCGGGCACAUCCAGGAGCGCGCCAUGCGCGUCUCCGCCCCGCAGCAGCCGCCAGCUGCAAACGAUCACCGGCAUUCUGCACACCUGCACUUAAUGAAGGACCUGCCUUCAUAAGCUCGCAGAACCUGCCAGGCGGCGCCGGAGUAUAGUCUUCCGUACCUGUCGCUUCCCGUGUUCCCCUGUGAUCCCUUGUUGUUCCCCUUGCUCCCCCGGACUGCCUUUUGGAUUCUUGACCUCCCGCUUGGACACGUUCUUCUCUGACGCUUCUCUCUCGCCCCUGAUCACCUGCCUGCCCCAUGGACUUCCUCAUCUCUCGUUCAACACUUUGGUAACACACACUUCAGCUAACUACACACAUAGCCUUACACCACAUACACUUUUGGAUCUAGUUCAC